rnacentral:rRNA from 1 species
GACGGCCUUCGGGUUGUAAACCUCUUUUAGCAGGGAAGAAGCGAAAGUGACGGUACCUGCAGAAAAAGCGCCGGCUAACUACGUGCCAGCAGCCGCGGUAAUACGUAGGGCGCAAGCGUUAUCCGGAAUUAUUGGGCGUAAAGAGCUCGUAGGCGGUUUGUCGCGUCUGCCGUGAAAGUCCGGGGCUCAACUCCGGAUCUGCGGUGGGUACGGGCAGACUAGAGUGAUGUAGGGGAGACUGGAAUUCCUGGUGUAGCGGUGAAAUGCGCAGAUAUCAGGAGGAACACCGAUGGCGAAGGCAGGUCUCUGGGCAUUAACUGACGCUGAGGAGCGAAAGCAUGGGGAGCGAACAGGAUUAGAUACCCUGGUAGUCCAUGCCGUAAACGUUGGGCACUAGGUGUGGGGGACAUUCCACGUUUUCCGCGCCGUAGCUAACGCAUUAAGUGCCCCGCCUGGGGAGUACGGCCGCAAGGCUAAAACUCAAAGGAAUUGACGGGGGCCCGCACAAGCGGCGGAGCAUGCGGAUUAAUUCGAUGCAACGCGAAGAACCUUACCAAGGCUUGACAUGAACCGGAAACGCCUGGAAACAGGUGCCCCACUUGUGGUCGGUUUACAGGUGGUGCAUGGUUGUCGUCAGCUCGUGUCGUGAGAUGUUGGGUUAAGUCCCGCAACGAGCGCAACCCUCGUUCUAUGUUGCCAGCACGUGAUG